rnacentral:misc_RNA from 1 species
UAGGAAAGUCAUAAAUAUAUAAAUUAUAUUAUAUAAUUAAUAUAAUAAUAAAAUAAAUUAUAUAUUUUAUUUAUAAUAUUAUUUCUUUAUAAGAUAAAUAUUAUCUAAUUAAUAAUUAGAUUGAAUAAUAUUUAUAAAAAAAUAUAUAUAUAUAUAAAAAAAUCAUUAUAUAAAUUUAAUUAUAAUUUAAAUAAAUUUUAUAUAAAUUAAUAUAAUAUUAAUAAAGUAAUUAGUAUAAAUAAAUAAUAUGAAAAUAAAACUUAAUAAAUAUAUAAAUAUAGUCCAUAUAUAUAUAUUAAUAAAAAGUAAUAUAUAUAUAUAUAUUGGAAUAGUUAUAUUAUUAUACAGAAAUAUGCUUAA